rnacentral:rRNA from 1 species
GUAGUCCACGCUGUAAACGAUGGAUACUAGGUGUGGGGGGACUGACCCCCUCCGUGCCGCAGUUAACACAAUAAGUAUCCCACCUGGGGAGUACGAUCGCAAGGUUGAAACUCAAAGGAAUUGACGGGGGCCCGCACAAGCGGUGGAGUAUGUGGUUUAAUUCGAAGCAACGCGAAGAACCUUACCAGGGCUUGACAUCCCGAUGACCGGCAUAGAGAUAUGCUUUUCUCUUCGGAGACAUCGGUGACAGGUGGUGCAUGGUUGUCGUCAGCUCGUGUCGUGAGAUGUUGGGUUAAGUCCCGCAACGAGCGCAACCCUUAUUGUUAGUUGCUACGCAAGAGCACUCUAGCGAGACUGCCGUUGACAAAACGGA